UACGUAGGGUGCGAGCGUUGUCCGGAAUUAUUGGGCGUAAAGGGCUCGUAGGCGGUCUGUCGCGUCGGGAGUGAAAACUCGGGGCUUAACCCCGAGCCUGCUUCCGAUACGGGCAGACUGGAGGUAUGCAGGGGAGAACGGAAUUCCUGGUGUAGCGGUGAAAUGCGCAGAUAUCAGGAGGAACACCGGUGGCGAAGGCGGUUCUCUGGGCAUGACCUGACGCUGAGGAGCGAAAGUGUGGGGAGCGAACAGGAUUAGAUACCCCUGUAGUCC
rnacentral:rRNA from 1 species